UACAGAGGUGGCAAGCGUUGUUCGGAAUUACUGGGCGUAAAGGGCGCGUAGGCGGUUCGUUAAGUCCUGUGUGAAAUCCCCGGGCUCAACCUGGGAAUUGCAUUCGAUACUGGAUAGCUAGAGUUCGGCAGAGGGAAGCGGAAUUUCGGGUGUAGCGGUGAAAUGCGUAGAUAUCCGAAGGAACAUCAGUGGCGAAAGCGGCUUCCUGGACCAGAACUGACGAUCAGGCUCGAAAGCGUGGGGAGCAAACAGG
rnacentral:rRNA from 1 species